rnacentral:rRNA from 1 species
GAUGAACGCUGACAGAAUGCUUAACACAUGCAAGUCGACUUGAAGCAACUUCGGUUGUGGAAAGUGGCGGACGGGUGAGUAACGCGUAAAGAACUUGCCCUUCAGUCUGGGACAACCAUUGGAAACGAUGGCUAAUACCGGAUAUUAUGGAACUCUCGCAUGGGAGGAUCAUGAAAGCUAUAUGCGCUGAAGGAGAGCUUUGCGUUCCAUUAGCUAGUUGGUGAGGUAACGGCUCACCAAGGCGACGAUGGAUAGCCGGCCUGAGAGGGUGAUCGGCCACAAGGGGACUGAGACACGGCCCUUACUCCUACGGGAGGCAGCAGUGGGGAAUAUUGGACAAUGGACCAAAAGUCUGAUCCAGCAAUUCUGUGUGCACGAUGAAGGUUUUCGGAUCGUAAAGUGCUUUCAGUUGGGAAGAAGAAAGUGACGGUACCAACAGAAGAAGCGACGGCUAAAUACGUGCCAGCAGCCGCGGUAAUACGUAUGUCGCAAGCGUUAUCCGGAUUUAUUGGGCGUAAAGCGCGCCUAGGCGGAUUCAUAAGUCUGAUGUUAAAAUGCGGGGCUCAACUCCGUAUUGCGUUGGAAACUGUGAAUCUAGAGUAUCAGAGAGGUGGGCGGAACUACAAGUGUAGAGGUGAAAUUCGUAGAUAUUUGUAGGAAUGCCGAUGGAGAAGUCAGCUCACUGGAUGAAUACUGACGCUAAAGCGCGAAAGCGUGGGUAGCAAACAGG